AUUGAGCGCUGGCGGCAUGCUUUACACAUGCAAGUCGAACGGUAACAGGGAGCUUGCUCCGCUGACGAGUGGCGAACGGGUGAGUAAUGCGUCGGAACGUGCCGAGUAGUGGGGGAUAACGCAUCGAAAGGUGUGCUAAUACCGCAUACGAACUGAGGUUGAAAGUGGGGGACCUUCGGGCCUCACGCUAUUCGAGCGGCCGACGUCUGAUUAGCUAGUUGGUGAGGUAAAGGCUCACCAAGGCGACGAUCAGUAGCGGGUCUGAGAGGAUGAUCCGCCACACUGGGGCUGAGACACGGCCCAGACUCCUACGGGAGUCAGCAGUGGGGAAUUUUGGACAAUGGGCGCAAGCCUGAUCCAGCCAUGCCGCGUGUCUGAAGAAGGCCUUCGGGUUGUAAAGGACUUUUGUCCGGGAGCAAAUGCUGGUGGCUAACAUCCACCGGAGCUGAGAGUACCGGAAGAAUAAGCACCGGCUAACUACGUGCCAGCAGCCGCAGUAACAC
rnacentral:rRNA from 1 species